rnacentral:rRNA from 1 species
GGGUUGUGAGGUUAAGCGACUAAGCGUACACGGUGGAUGCCCUGGCAGUCAGAGGCGAUGAAGGACGUGCUAAUCUGCGAUAAGCGUCGGUAAGGUGAUAUGAACCGUUAUAACCGGCGAUUUCCGAAUGGGGAAACCCAGUGUGAUUCGUCACACUAUCAUUAACUGAAUCCAUAGGUUAAUGAGGCGAACCGGGGGAACUGAAACAUCUAAGUACCCCGAGGAAAAGAAAUCAACCGAGAUUCCCCCAGUAGCGGCGAGCGAACGGGGAGCAGCCCAGAGCCUGAAUCAGUGUGUGUGUUAGUGGAAGCGUCUGGAAAGGCGCGCGAUACAGGGUGACAGCCCCGUACACAAAAAUGCACAUACUGUGAGCUCGAUGAGUAGGGCGGGACACGUGGUAUCCUGUCUGAAUAUGGGGGGACCAUCCUCCAAGGCUAAAUACUCCUGACUGACCGAUAGUGAACCAGUACCGUGAGGGAAAGGCGAAAAGAACCCCGGCGAGGGGAGUGAAAAAGAACCUGAAACCGUGUACGUACAAGCAGUGGGAGCCUCUUUAUGGGGUGACUGCGUACCUUUUGUAUAAUGGGUCAGCGACUUAUAUUCUGUAGCAAGGUUAACCGAAUAGGGGAGCCGAAGGGAAACCGAGUCUUAACUGGGCGUUAAGUUGCAGGGUAUAGACCCGAAACCCGGUGAUCUAGCCAUGGGCAGGUUGAAGGUUGGGUAACACUAACUGGAGGACCGAACCGACUAAUGUUGAAAAAUUAGCGGAUGACUUGUGGCUGGGGGUGAAAGGCCAAUCAAACCGGGAGAUAGCUGGUUCUCCCCGAAAGCUAUUUAGGUAGCGCCUCGUGAAUUCAUCUCCGGGGGUAGAGCACUGUUUCGGCAAGGGGGUCAUCCCGACUUACCAACCCGAUGCAAACUGCGAAUACCGGAGAAUGUUAUCACGGGAGACACACGGCGGGUGCUAACGUCCGUCGUGAAGAGGGAAACAACCCAGACCGCCAGCUAAGGUCCCAAAGUCAUGGUUAAGUGGGAAACGAUGUGGGAAGGCCCAGACAGCCAGGAUGUUGGCUUAGAAGCAGCCAUCAUUUAAAGAAAGCGUAAUAGCUCACUGGUCGAGUCGGCCUGCGCGGAAGAUGUAACGGGGCUAAACCAUGCACCGAAGCUGCGGCAGCGACACUAUGUGUUGUUGGGUAGGGGAGCGUUCUGUAAGCCUGUGAAGGUGUGCUGUGAGGUAUGCUGGAGGUAUCAGAAGUGCGAAUGCUGACAUAAGUAACGAUAAAGCGGGUGAAAAGCCCGCUCGCCGGAAGACCAAGGGUUCCUGUCCAACGUUAAUCGGGGCAGGGUGAGUCGACCCCUAAGGCGAGGCCGAAAGGCGUAGUCGAUGGGAAACAGGUUAAUAUUCCUGUACUUGGUGUUACUGCGAAGGGGGGACGGAGAAGGCUAUGUUGGCCGGGCGACGGUUGUCCCGGUUUAAGCGUGUAGGCUGGUUUUCCAGGCAAAUCCGGAAAAUCAAGGCUGAGGCGUGAUGACGAGGCACUACGGUGCUGAAGCAACAAAUGCCCUGCUUCCAGGAAAAGCCUCUAAGCAUCAGGUAACAUCAAAUCGUACCCCAAACCGACACAGGUGGUCAGGUAGAGAAUACCAAGGCGCUUGAGAGAACUCGGGUGAAGGAACUAGGCAAAAUGGUGCCGUAACUUCGGGAGAAGGCACGCUGAUAUGUAGGUGAAGUCCCUUGCGGAUGGAGCUGAAAUCAGUCGAAGAUACCAGCUGGCUGCAACUGUUUAUUAAAAACACAGCACUGUGCAAACACGAAAGUGGACGUAUACGGUGUGACGCCUGCCCGGUGCCGGAAGGUUAAUUGAUGGGGUUAGCGGUAACGCGAAGCUCUUGAUCGAAGCCCCGGUAAACGGCGGCCGUAACUAUAACGGUCCUAAGGUAGCGAAAUUCCUUGUCGGGUAAGUUCCGACCUGCACGAAUGGCGUAAUGAUGGCCAGGCUGUCUCCACCCGAGACUCAGUGAAAUUGAACUCGCUGUGAAGAUGCAGUGUACCCGCGGCAAGACGGAAAGACCCCGUGAACCUUUACUAUAGCUUGACACUGAACAUUGAGCCUUGAUGUGUAGGAUAGGUGGGAGGCUUUGAAGUGUGGACGCCAGUCUGCAUGGAGCCGACCUUGAAAUACCACCCUUUAAUGUUUGAUGUUCUAACGUUGGCCCCUGAUCGGGGUUGCGGACAGUGUCUGGUGGGUAGUUUGACUGGGGCGGUCUCCUCCUAAAGAGUAACGGAGGAGCACGAAGGUUGGCUAAUCCUGGUCGGACAUCAGGAGGUUAGUGCAAUGGCAUAAGCCAGCUUGACUGCGAGCGUGACGGCGCGAGCAGGUGCGAAAGCAGGUCAUAGUGAUCCGGUGGUUCUGAAUGGAAGGGCCAUCGCUCAACGGAUAAAAGGUACUCCGGGGAUAACAGGCUGAUACCGCCCAAGAGUUCAUAUCGACGGCGGUGUUUGGCACCUCGAUGUCGGCUCAUCACAUCCUGGGGCUGAAGUAGGUCCCAAGGGUAUGGCUGUUCGCCAUUUAAAGUGGUACGCGAGCUGGGUUUAGAACGUCGUGAGACAGUUCGGUCCCUAUCUGCCGUGGGCGCUGGAGAACUGAGGGGGGCUGCUCCUAGUACGAGAGGACCGGAGUGGACGCAUCACUGGUGUUCGGGUUGUCAUGCCAAUGGCACUGCCCGGUAGCUAAAUGCGGAAGAGAUAAGUGCUGAAAGCAUCUAAGCACGAAACUUGCCCCGAGAUGAGUUCUCCCUGACUCCUUGAGAGUCCUGAAGGAACGUUGAAGACGACGACGUUGAUAGGCCGGGUGUGUAAGCGCAGCGAUGCGUUGAGCUAACCGGUACUAAUGAACCGUGAGGCUUAACCUUACAACGCCGAAG